ACUCAAAUGAAUUGACGGGGACCCGCACAAGCGGUGGAGUAUGUGGUUUAAUUCGACGCAACACGAAAAACCUUACCUGGGCUCGAACGACUGGAAGUAGAAUCAGCGAAAGCCGAGACGACCUGUAAAAUCAGGAACCAGCCGAGGUGCUGCAUGGUUGUCGUCAGCUCGUGUCGUGAGAUGUUGGGUUAAGUCCCGCAACGAGCGCAACCCUCAUCUCCUGUUGCUACCCGCAAGGGAGCACUCUGGAGAAACUGCCCACGAUGAGUGGGAGGAAGGUGGGGACGACGUCAAAUCACCAUGGCCCUUAUGUCCAGGGCUACACACGUACUACAAUGGCCAGUACAACGGGACGCAAUGCGGCAACGCGGAGCAAAUCCUUAUAAAGCUGGCCCCAGUUCAGAUUAUGGGCUGCAACUCGUCCAUAUGAAGGUGGAAUCGCUAGUAAUCGCGAAUCAGAAGGUCGCGGUGAAUACGUUCCCGGGUCUUGUACACACCGCCCGU
rnacentral:rRNA from 1 species